AGACCGGACAUCACCUAAAACCAGACCCACAAAUCUUUUAUCUGAGUCUGAUACCCGCCUCGUACCCAUAAAUUUUUAUUCAAUCUCAAUACUCAAAUAUCCUAUCCGGAUAUUUUUUUUUUUGAGUACUCCGGUCAAACUUGGGUUUUUUUAGUAUUCUCAAUCGGGGUCAGGCUUUGGGUUUUUUUUUUCGAGUGAGCAGAGCUAAUUUUGGGUUUUGAAAGGGGAUAAAUUUUGAGGUUUUGUGACGACCGAAGAAGAAAUUUAUUAUGCAUUUGUAGUGUAGCAGAUAAGUCAAUAAUCCAUCCCCUUUGUUCCCAUAACCUUGUAGCCGCCAUCAUCUUGUCAAAAAAUUGCUUUACCUUGGACUCCAACUUCAACAUCCCGAUUCUUUUCUGCCUUUUCAAGUUUCAAUUUGUUUCCUCACGGUUCAAUUAAUCAAAACCCUAAUCCCCAAACAACAAGAACAAGAACUACAAUUGUUUUGCUGCAGAUUCCUCCUAUCAAACCCUUCUUCGUAAACCAUAUAAAUUUCAGCUUCUUACAAAAUGAUUUAAGCCUCUUAUUGAUUGAUACAGAUAUGGGAGCUAUCUCAGUUGUCUCUGCAACUCUUCCUCUUGAAACCAAAUUGAUUGGUUUAAAGGCAGUAUGCACCCAUAACACUACAGCCUCAGCUCCAAAGGCAGACCGUAAACGAUACAGAAAUUCUAAGAAGGCUGGCAACCCUAAAGAUCGUGCGCCUAUUAUUCGUAGUUUAAGCAAAAAGGGAUCACCCCAUAUUGCUAAUGAACUUGUUCCCAGAUUGCAAGCUGAGGGUUUUCUUCUCGACGAUUCUACCUGGACGGCUUUGAUGUUGUACUACGCCAAUAAUGGAUUUUUCACUCAGGCAGAUGCAUUAUGGAACACAAUCAUAAACAGUGCGUAUAAUCUCGAUAUUCGUGUAGUUUCGGAACUAAUUGAUGCUUAUAUUGGAGCGGGGCUUUUUCACGAAGUAAUCAGAAUUGUACAACAAAUUAGUAUUAGGCAUCCUCACUUACAACAUCAAGUUUAUGUGCAUACAAUAUCUUGUUUCGGUAAGGUUGGAGAGCUUGAGCUAAUGGAUUAUACGUUGAAGGAAAUGAUCUCAAAGGGAUAUCCCGUUGAUUCUUCUAUAGGUAAUGCUUAUAUUGUGUAUCACAGUCGUUUUGGUUCGAUAACCAUGAUGGAACAUGCUUACAAGCGUCUAAAAAGUUCAAGAUUUUUAAUCGAAGAAGACGGGAUUAGGGCGGUUUCUGAUGCUUAUAUACGGGAUAAAAAGUUUCAUAAUUUGGGCAACUUUUUACGGGAAGUGGGUCUCGGUAGAAGAAAUGCUGGAAAUCUUCUUUGGAAUUUAUUACUGUUGUCGUACGCGGCCAAUUUCAAAAUGAAGAGUUUGCAAAGAGAGUUUUUAAAUAUGGUGGAAGCGGGAUUUGAUCCCGAUCUCACUACAUUUAAUAUUCGAGCUGCGGCUUUCUCGAAGAUGUCGUUGUUUUGGGAUCUCCAUUUAAGUCUUGAGCAUAUGAAUCAUAAUGGAAUUAUCCCGGAUCUUGUCACUUAUGGGUGUGUUGUUGAUGCGUAUUUGGAUAGAAGAUUGGGGAGAAAUUUGGAUUUUGCUUUACGGAAAAUGAACGUGAAAGAUUCUCCGGUUGUUUUGACCGACCCGAUUCUGUUUGAGGUGUUGGGAAAAGGGGAUUUUCAUUCUAGCUCAGAGGCACUUUUGGAAUUUAACAUGCGGAAAACAUGGACUUAUAAGGAAUUGAUUGCGAUAUAUGUGAAGAAAAAGUAUCGGAGUAAUCAAAUAUUUUGGAAUUACUGACGGAUUAUGGAAGAAGAUAAAUGCGCUUUUUAGUCAGCCAUUGAAGAAUGUGAUUGAUGAAAGAUCCUGGGUGACCUAAAUGACAGAAACACCCCUUCUCACCAAAGUAUCUUGUUUUGUGGUCUCCUCAACAUGCAAGCGAAAGUGAAAAUGCUGAAGCCCUUCUGGAAUUUCGCCACGGAAAUGAUUGUUUGCGAAAUUUGCAACAGUCAAUCUUCCCGGAGCAAAGUUUGGGAUUCCACCCUCGAAUUCAUUUCCUUGGAGCAUCAACUCUUUUAGCUUAGGCAAUGUUGUCAAUGACGCAGGGAUCUGGCCGAUGAGGUUGUUAUUCGCUAGAUCUAUCUUCUCGAGCCAUUUCAGACCCUUGAAAGCAUUGGCCGGAAUUUCACUAGAAAACUUGUUAUUCGACAAAAGGAUUUCUCGUAUUCCAUCAAGCAUUCCGAAAUCAGGGAAGGCACCCUUCAAGUUAUUGUUGUUGAAACUUAUGCUGACCAAUGAUGACAAUUCGGAUAACAUAUCGGUGUCAAUGUUACCUCCCAGCGCCUUGUUGUCUAGUUUUAUGCCCGAAACAGACCCAUUGGUGCAAAGAAGGCCUUCCCAAUUGGCUGUAUUAUUUUUAUUAUUAUCACAUGGGCUCUUGGUGGGAAUCCAGGUGGUUAACUUGUCGCCAUUGAUAAGGGAUUCCUUAAACUUGAUGAGCGUUUGUGAAUCUGAACCUUUGACAAGGUGGAUGAUUGAGACAAUGAGGAGGAGGACAAGGAAACGACCUGACAUGGAACAAGAGGAGAGCACUGGUGCGCGCACAUGUACGUACAAGUGCGCGCCCAUUGAAAGGGCUAUUGUAGAAGGCAAUGGCGGCUGUCGUCGGAGUUACAGAAGAGAUGGAAAGGUAAUGAGUUUUUGUGGGCAUGAAAAAAGAAAGGUGUAAAGAGAGAAAGAGAGACAUGUUGGAGAAGAGAGAGGGGAAGAAAGGUGCCAUGAAUAGUUUUCUUCUCCUGCUUUUCAUGAGAUUUAUGCGGGCUUCAAAAUAUUCAAAUAGUAAUUAUAGGCCAUAGGGCAUAGCCUACAUAACACAAGGAUUUAAAAAAAACUACCACGAAACACUUGUAGGAACAAAUAAAAGAUGGUCAUUUUUGAGGGGCUUUAGAACCAUAUGAGAAUGAUUCUUAACUACUAAAAUCAUGGACUAACAAUAGGAAUAUAAAAUAACUCUAACAAGAGUAAAUUACAAGUUUUCUCCUUCAUGUUUACAUCGUUUUUCAGA